rnacentral:misc_RNA from 1 species
AAAGAGAAACAUACAUCUGAAGAGUUGGUGAAGGACAGAUGUCGUCUUUUUCGUGAAAUGAUUGACAGCAUGGAGAAACGGUCCUUGCAAGAUAUUGACAAUGGCUAUCAGAAACAAGCAGCUCAGCUGCGAGAAUAUCAAAGUAAAUUUGACUGUUAUCAAAAUAUUUGCUCUGAUGUUGAAGAAGUUGAGAAUACACAAAACGAUGCUUUACGUUCUUGUUUGGUGUCAAAACUGACCGCCAUGGAGAAAGAGCCACAAAUUACAACAUUAAGCAAAAUGGCAGAUGAUUUCUUGAGAAUGGAAGCCCCGCCUUAUCUUUUGAAAUUUCAAAUAUCUGAGAGCUUGGAGCAGGCGAUUUUACAGCCUAGACGUAUUGGCAAUGUCUCUUUGUCCAACUUGAUUCAAAACGAAAAGGCGCCAGAAAAACAGCAACUAACAGAUGAACAUGAGGCGUACCAAAUAAUUCCACCAACAGCACCUGCGUAUUCUGAUUUCACCAGCCUUCCAAAUUAUAGAGACAUCUCUCAAGGUCAUGAAGCAAGGAGGGCACUAGGACCAACACCUCCUCUUCAUCCAAUGACAUCAACGCAAAGGGUUGAUAAACCUUCACCCUACUUUCACGCGGGGGCUAAGUGCCAACCUUCAGUGCAGCCCGUACAACAAGACAUUGAAGCAAUUGGUCUUUCUGGUGGACCAACGACAUCUCCAUAUGGUCACCUUCACGGAAAACCUUACCAGGACCCAUACCAAGAGCUCUCAAUGGGUCGUCCCGAAUUUGUUCAUCCAUAUCAACAAGUUAAUCCUGAGCCAAGGCAGAUUCCAGAUAGCCUGACAUCAUUUUUAUCAGCUCCAGAUGGACCACCGAAGCAACUUAAAUUUCACUCCAACAUCCAUCCAAGAUAUAUGAAUGAGACAGAUGCUGCUACAAUUUCUGGAGUUUGUUUUCUUGAAAAUGGUUAUGUUGUUUUGUCCGAUAAAUCCAAUGGCGCGGUUAAAGUCUAUGAUGACAUGAAUGUUUUGGUUAUGUUUAGAAAGCUUGGUCAUAAACCCUAUGACGUCACCCAGGCUCCUUCCGGUGAUAUAGCUGUUGCUUUACCAAAGGAACACAGUGUCAACAUACUGUCAUUGCGUGACCUGUCUACGGUUCCCAAUGGUUGGAUAAAUAACCACAAAGGCAAAUGCUUCGGUCUAACGUCAACAGAUACUAACAUAUUUGUUAUUUGGAAGGAAAACGAUGCCAAAGAAUACAUAUCUGUAUACAGUAGUAAUUACACCGAGAUAAGAAAAAUCAACGUAUCUGUUGAACGCUCUCUGGCUGUCAAUCCAGCAACUCAAGACGUAUUCUAUCGAGUUCUGAAUUUCGGAAACGACCAGAUUAAAUGCAUCAACCCCCUUAGUAGUGACAAGAAGAAAUGGAAAGUGAAAGUUCCGUCAUGGAAAGCGGUAAUCGAGGGAUUGGCGGUCCUGAAGGCUGGAAUCUUGAUCUCAACGACUUCAGCCGUACAGUUUAUGGACUUUUACACCCAGACCUUCACCCCCAUUAUGAAAUUAAAAAAUGGUGGCCACUUGGCGGUCAACAGAAAUCGCUCUAAAGUAGCUUUGGUGAUACAUGAAUCAGAUUCUUUAGAUGACAAAGACGACAUUGUCGGGAUCUAUGAUCUCGUAUAUUAAUAUAAACUCUCUCUCUCUCUCUCUCUCUCUCUCUCUCUCUCUCUCUCUCUCUCUCUCUCUCUCUCUCUCUCUCUCUCUCUCAGGGACAGAUUAAUGGACCCCCAUUGCCCUGGAAAAUAAUCUGGAUCCGUGCAUGAGGUUCUCCUAAAUGAAUAAAUUUACUUUAACCGUUGACUGGACUUCAGCAGCUGUUAAACAAAGAUUACGAAACCAAAAAUCCCUUUGGUGAUAUAUGAAGAACUUUUAAGACUACAUUUGGUAAUAAAAAACAUAAAUAAACUGCCUUUUAAACUUUUUAGAUAAAAUCUUGAAACAACCCACCUUUAUUCCAACAGAGAGUGGAAAAUAUUAAAUAUUAAGCUUGCUUAUUUUUAUUUUUAUUUGGGAUAUAGUGCUGAUUAAUUUCAUAAUAUCCAGGAAUAUAAAGCCAUGGAACUUUAUAAAAAAUUAUUUAAAAGCAAGAUUUUGCAUGUACAUCAGCAAAUGUAAUUAAAUUUUGUGCACUUGUGUUAACUACAAAUUACAUAUAAUUAAAACAUUACAUGUAGUAUGCAAUGUCGAAUAGUCUUUCCUCCAUGUCUUCUGUGUUGUUUUAUUCUCUCAAUCUUAACACAUUUUUUAUAUAACGUUAUAUCUCUGCAUAGUGUUUUGUACAGUUACUUCAAGAAAGUGUAUAUAAUAAUGUAGUCGUAAUAUUCAGCAUGCUCCUCAUGUACAUGUACCAUUUAUUUUUGUAUAAAACAAACUAAACUUUAACCAUUUCGCUAAUUUGGUUGUUCGUGUAUUUUUUUGUGCACUAUAUGUGUGUCAUAGAUUUACGCCUUUAUUUGUUCUUUAUUCGGCUUUUUACGAUUGAUUAAAAAAAAA